rnacentral:ribozyme from 1 species
GAAAAAAAUACAGGAAAAGGAAAAGGGGCGAAAAAAAAAAGAGAAGAAAUUUUGAGACAUUUCAUUUGGAGUGGACAACAGUAUCUUUUUUGUUUCUUGAUCGUUAUGCAGUUCUUUCUCAUCA